AGCGAACGCUGGCGGCAGGCCUAACACAUGCAAGUCGAACGAACCUUUCGGGGUUAGUGGCGGACGGGUGAGUAACACGUGGGAACGUGCCUUUAGGUUCGGAAUAACUCAGGGAAACUUGUGCUAAUACCGAAUGUGCCCUUCGGGGGAAAGAUUUAUCGCCUUUAGAGCGGCCCGCGUCUGAUUAGCUAGUUGGUUGAGGUAAUGGCUCACCAAGGCGACGAUCAGUAGCUGGUCUGAGAGGAUGAUCAGCCACAUUGGGACUGAGACACGGCCCAAACUGCGACGGGAGGGAGUGGGGGAGAGUGUGGAGAAAUGGACAAAAGACUGACGCAGCCAGGACGGGUGAAUGAGGGAGGUAUUAGGAAUGAAAAAUUAUUCAACAGGGGAGGAAAAGGAAGGAGCAGGGAGAAGAGGACCCGGCAAACGUGGGGAGAGGGCAGCGGAAAUAUUAGGAGGAGAAAACAGGUGAAC
rnacentral:rRNA from 1 species